rnacentral:rRNA from 1 species
UACGUAGGUGGCAAGCGUUGUCCGGAAUUAUUGGGCGUAAAGCGCGCGCAGGCGGUCCCUUAAGUCUGAUGUGAAAGCCCACGGCUCAACCGUGGAGGGUCAUUGGAAACUGGGGGACUUGAGUACAGAAGAGGAAAGCGGAAUUCCACGUGUAGCGGUGAAAUGCGUAGAGAUGUGGAGGAACACCAGUGGCGAAGGCGGCUUCUGGUCUGUAACUGACGCUGAGGCGCGAAAGCGUGGGGAGCAAACAGG